AUACGUAGGUGACAAGCGUUAUCCGGAUUGACUGGGUGUAAAGGGCGUGUAGGCGGUUUAGCAAGUCAGAAGUGAAAUUCCCGGGCUUAACUUGUGCGCUGCUUCUGAAACUGCUUUACUUGAGUGCUGGAGAGGAUAGUGGAAUUCCUAGUGUAGCGGUAAAAAGCGCAGAUAUUAAGAGGAACACCAGUGGCUAGGGUGGCUAUCUGAACAGAAACUAAACCUGAGGCGAGAAAGCACAGGGAACAACCAGAAAUAGACAUUCUGUUACUCAGUGCCGUAAACGCGGAAUGCUAGGUGGAGGCGGUAUAGACUCACUGUGUGCCGAAGUGAAAACAUUAAGUAUUCCACCAGUAGAGUUAGGCCUCAAGUUGGAAUCUGAAAGGAAUUGACGAGG
rnacentral:rRNA from 1 species